rnacentral:rRNA from 1 species
UACGUAGGGUGCAAGCGUUAAUCGGAAUUACUGGGCGUAAAGCGUGCGCAGGCGGUUUUGUAAGUCUGACGUGAAAUCCCCGGGCUCAACCUGGGAAUUGCGUUGGAGACUGCAAGGCUGGAGUCUGGCAGAGGGGGGUGGAAUUCCACGUGUAGCAGUGAAAUGCGUAGAGAUGUGGAGGAACACCGAUGGCGAAGGCAGCCCCCUGGGCCGACACUGACGCUCAUGCACGAAAGCGUGGGGAGCAAACAGG